rnacentral:lncRNA from 1 species
UCGAAGCAACAACAUCCUCCAUUCCAAGCGAGGUGACAUCCCCACAGUUUUUUUUAAGAAAAAAAUAUUGUAAAAACUUUCUUAAGCAUCUAAAAAAAAUAUAUUAAUGGCUAGAAUUUUUAAAGUCCUCCUGUCCACGCCUUUAAAAUCCCCAUUUAAAUACCAUGGGCCUUAUUCUGUAACAUUGUUUUUUGGGUAGGCCUAUUGUUGUUGCUCUCUCUUUUUUUUUUGAAGAAAAUAUUUGGGCUAGAUUCAAAGUGUAAUAAUACGAAUCUCUUUUUAUCAAAUAAUAUUAAGGCAAACGACCCGGGUGACUGUUAUAAUGCAUGGGUUGUUUUGAUACAGAAGAAAUAGGAGAUCCAAAAGCAGCAAUGCUGGAACCAAGCCGAACAACUUCAACAGGCACUCAUUAAAACUUCCGAGUUGAUAUUGACAUGAUAAGAGUCUUCAUUCUUCAGUUGCAAGGGAAGAAGAAGAAGAAGAAAAAAACGAAGAAAGAAAGCAUGCUUCUUGUUUCACUUAGGCAACCACUUUCAACUCCCAAUGAAGCUCAUUCGAACCCUCUCCUCCUUACAUCAACGCAACCCUUGUGCAGGUAAUCUCAAAUUCAACAUCUCUAAUAACUUCCGCUGCGUCUCUAUUCCAGUGAGAUGGACCAAGUUCCUUGCAAUGGAGCAGUCUGUUCAAUCAUUCUCCUUGCUGUUGGCAUCAUCAUCUUCCUGAGGGCAUUCCUUCCUUCCUUAUUCGUCGUCUCCUUCCAUGGCUUAUGAGGACAAACAUGUAAGAUUUGGCUCGCAUAAAUGAGAUAAUAGACUCAUAAAUGAUUUAAUAAAUAUUAAUGCUAAAGUUUUAUUGAUUAAUUUAAGAAGUAAUUUUGUAUUCAGUAACUGCAUAAUUGAUAUGUGAUGUCAAUUCAGAAAUAAUUCUCUAUGUACCUUACAACUACAAGUCUUAUUCCAUAAAAAACACAUAAAGAAUUGAAGGUUAUAAGAGAAACACGGUUCCUUUUAUCAAUUCAAUAUCAUGAUUUUGCAUGUUAUGAAUCAAGCCAUGCUUUCUUUAAAUAAUUACUUCAAUGUGGAAAUCAUGAAUUUAUAAGAUCAUAAACAUUAUAUUUUAUAUUUAAUUGUUAAUGGUUACUAUAAAACAAUUGCUAACACAACCUGGUAUGCGCUCAUCAAAAUCUUUGCUUCUAUUUGCGAGAUUGUGUAAAUAAUAGAACAACAUUGCAUGAUUAAUUUGUUUCCAUACCUUAUUAGCAGGAGUGUGGAGACUAACUGAACUGCAUCCUUCCC